rnacentral:misc_RNA from 1 species
GUGAAUCAUCGAAUUUUUGAACGCAAAUUGCACUCCCUGGUAUUCCGGGGAGUAUUCCUGUUUGAGGGUCGGUAGAAUAAAAAAUCGAGGCGUCGCUCUUUUUUUUAAGGGUGAUCGCGUCCAUAAUUCUUCAUUAAAUGACCUCAAACAGGUAAGAGUACCCGCUGAACUUAAGCAUAUCAAUAAGCGGAGGA